GAAUACCUCAUAGCAUACUAAGUUGGCAUCAACCUAGUAUUAAAGUCACAACGGUGAAAGAUGAGCAUGCGUCCCAUUAGCUAGUUGGUAAGGUAACGGCUUACCAAGGCGACGAUGGGUAGGGGUCCUGAGAGGGAGAUCCCCCACACUGGUACUGAGACACGGACCAGACUCCUACGGGAGGCAGCAGUGAGGAAUAUUGGUCAAUGGGCGCAAGCCUGAACCAGCCAUGCCGCGUGCAGGAUGACGGUCCUAUGGAUUGUAAACUGCUUUUGUACGGGAAGAAACACUCCUUCGUGAAGGAGCUUGACGGUACCGUAAGAAUAAGGAUCGGCUAACUCCGUGCCAGCAGCCGCGGUAAUACGGAGGAUCCAAGCGUUAUCCGGAAUCAUUGGGUUUAAAGGGUCCGUAGGCGGUCUUGUAAGUCAGUGGUGAAAGCCCAUCGCUCAACGGUGGAACGGCCAUUGAUACUGCAGGACUUGAAUUAUUGGGAAGUAACUAGAAUAUGUAGUGUAGCGGUGAAAUGCUUAGAGAUUACAUGGAAUACCAAUUGCGAAGGCAGGUUACUACCAAUUUAUUGACGCUGAUGGACGAAAGCGUGGGUAGCGAACAGGAUUAGAUACCCUGGUAGUCCACGCCGUAAACGAUGGAUACUAGCUGUUGGGGGCAACUUCAGUGGCUAAGCGAAAGUGAUAAGUAUCCCACCUGGGGAGUACGUUCGCAAGAAUGAAACUCAAAGGAAUUGACGGGGGCCCGCACAAGCGGUGGAGCAUGUGGUUUAAUUCGAUGAUACGCGAGGAACCUUACCAAGGCUUAAAUGCAGACUGACCGAUUUGGAAACAGAUCUUUCGCAAGACAGUUUACAAGGUGCUGCAUGGUUGUCGUCAGCUCGUGCCGUGAGGUGUCAGGUUAAGUCCUAUAACGAGCGCAACCCCUGUUGUUAGUUGCCAGCGAGUCAUGUCGGGAACUCUAACAAGACUGCCAGUGCAAACUGUGAGGAAGGUGGGGAUGACGUCAAAUCAUCACGGCCCUUACGCCUUGGGCUACACACGUGCUACAAUGGCCGGUACAGAGAGCAGCCACCUCGCGAGGGGGAGCGAAUCUAUAAAGCCGGUCACAGUUCGGAUCGGAGUCUGCAACUCGACUCCGUGAAGCUGGAAUCGCUAGUA
rnacentral:rRNA from 1 species